rnacentral:rRNA from 1 species
AGCGUAGACGGUUUAUUAAGUCUGAUGUGAAAGCCCGGAGCUCAACUCCGGAAUGGCAUUGGAAACUGGUUAACUUGAGUGCAGUAGAGGUAAGUGGAACUCCAUGUGUAGCGGUGGAAUGCGUAGAUAUAUGGAAGAACACCAGUGGCGAAGGCGGCUUACUGGACUGCAACCGACGUUGAGGCUCGAAAGUGUGGUAGCAAACA